rnacentral:rRNA from 1 species
UACGUAGGGUGCAAGCGUUAAUCGGAAUUACUGGGCGUAAAGCGUGCGCAGGCGGCUUUGCAAGACAGAUGUGAAAUGCCCGGGCUUAACCUGGGAACUGCAUUUGUGACUGCAUGGCUAGAGUGUGUCAGAGGGGGGUAGAAUUCCACGUGUAGCAGUGGAAUGCGUAGAUAUGUGGAGGAAUACCGAUGGCGAAGGCAGCCCCCUGGGAUAACACUGACGCUCAUGCACGAAAGCGUGGGGAGCAAACAGG